rnacentral:rRNA from 1 species
AACGAACGCUGGCGGCAUGCCUAACACAUGCAAGUCGAACGAGACCUUCGGGUCUAGUGGCGCACGGGUGCGUAACGCGUGGGAACCUGCCCUUAGGUUCGGAAUAACUCCCCGAAAGGGGUGCUAAUACCGGAUAAUUUCUUCGGCCUAAAGGUUUAUCGCCUUUGGAUGGGCCCGAGUUGGAUUAGCUAGUUGGUAGGGUAAAAGCCUACCAAGGCGACGAUCCAUAGCUGGUCUGAGAGGAUGAUCAGCCACACUGGGACUGAGACACGGCCCAGACUCCUACGGGAGGCAGGAGUGGGGGAUAUUGGACAAUGGGCGGAAGCCUGAUCCAGCAAUGCCGGGUGAGUGAUGAAGGCCGUAGGGUUGUAAAGCUCUUUUACCCGGGAUGAUAAUGACAGUACCGGGAGAAUAAGCUCCGGCUAACUCCGUG